CCUACGGGCGGCAGCAGUGGGGAAUAUUGCGCAAUGGGGGCAACCCUGACGCAGCCAUGCCGCGUGAAUGAAGAAGGCCUUCGGGUUGUAAAGUUCUUUCGGUAUUGAGGAAGGUUGAUGUGUUAAUAGUACAUCAAAUUGACGUUAAAUACAGAAGAAGCACCGGCUAACUCCGUGCCAGCAGCCGCGGUAAUACGGAGGGUGCGAGCGUUAAUCGGAAUAACUGGGCGUAAAGGGCACGCAGGCGGUUAUUUAAGUGAGGGGUGAAAGCCCCGGGCUUAACCUGGGAAUUGCAUUUCAGACUGGGUAACUAGAGUACUUUAGGGAGGGGUAGAAUUCCACGUGUAGCGGUGAAAUGCGUAGAGAUGUGGAGGAAUACCGAAGGCGAAGGCAGCCCCUUGGGAAUGUACUGACGCUCAUGUGCGAAAGCGUGGGGAGCAAACAGGAUUAGAUACCCUUGUAGUC
rnacentral:rRNA from 1 species